UACAGGGGGGGCAAGCGUUGUUCGGAAUUACUGGGCGUAAAGGGCGCGUAGGCGGCCAUGCGUGUCUUCCGUGAAAUCCCUCGGCUUAACUGAGGACGUGCGGAAAAAACUGCAAGGCUCGAGUCCGGGAGAGGGGGGUGGAAUUCCCAGUGUAGCGGUGAAAUGCGUAGAUAUUGGGAGGAACACCGGUGGCGAAGGCGGCCCCCUGGACCGGUCACGUGACGCUGAGGCGCGAAAGCGUGGGUAGCAAACGGG
rnacentral:rRNA from 1 species